rnacentral:rRNA from 1 species
AACUCACCAGGUCAGGACACGGUAAGGAUUGACGGACUGAAGGCUUCUUUCUCGAUUCCGUGGAAAGUGGUGCAUGGCCGUUUUUGGUUGGUGGAUCGAUCCGUCUGGUUAAUUCCGUUAACGAACGAGACCUCGGCACUCCGAAUAGCGCGGCGGACGUCGCGGCCUCCGGGCCGUCUUCCGCACGAGCUUCUUAGAGGGACCGUCCCCCGCCGGGGAAGGAGGUGCGAGGCAACGACAGGUCUGUGAUGCCCUUAGAUGUUCUGGGCCGCACGCGCAUUACACUGACGCGUCCAACGGGUGACUCCCGACCCGAAGGGGCCGGGGAAUCCGCAAGGCGCGUCGUGAUGGGGAUUGAACGUUGCAAUUGUUGUUCACGAACGAGGAAUUCCUAGUAGGCGCGGGUCAUCAACCCGCGCCGAUUACGUCCCUGCCC